CGUAGGGUGCGAGCGUUAAUCGGAAGUACUGGGCGUAAAGCGUGCGCAGGCGGUUUUGUAAGACAGGCGUGAAAUCCCCGGGCUCAACCUGGGAACUGCGCUUGUGACUGCAAGGCUAGAGUACGGCAGAGGGGGUGGAAUUCCACGUGUAGCAGUGAAAUGCGUAGAGAUGUGGAGGAACACCAAUGGCGAAGGCAGCCCCCUGGGUCGAUACUGACGCUCAUGCACGAAAGCGUGGGUAGCAAACAGGAUUAGAUACCCUGGUAGUCCACGCCCUAAACGAUGUCAACUAGGUGUUGGGUGGGUAAAACCAUUUAGUACCGGAGCUAAACGCGUGAAGUUGACCGCCUGGGGAGUACGGCCGCAAGGUUA
rnacentral:rRNA from 1 species